UCACACUUCCCUGUAACCCAAAGGCCGAGUCCGCGCUCGGUCUCGGCUCAGGGCCGGAGAAACGCGGAGCGGCCCCGACUGCUGGAAAUGACAGCGGCACUUUCUCUCCGUCCCCUCGGGCUCCCCGCUGCAUCCCCGCGGCGGGGCAGGCCGGGAGCGGGGCCGACACGCCUCCGGCAGUGGCAGGGACGCAAACAGACGGGUCCGGAGGAAGGAAACUCCGGCAACGACGAUCAACACAGCAAGAUCUACUGCAGAAAACUGCCAGAACAUUGCUGCUGGGUCUUUGAACAUGCCUGAGGAGGAGUGGCAGUGCCAUGAGUGCUGGCCACUGGAGAGGUGUUUCUGGGGGGCAGGUUCCAAGUCAAAUACCUUCCAAAAUACACCAUUCUGCCAGUACAGAAUGGAAUUGGAUUUCUGACACUCCUGAAAUAUUCAGUUAUGGAGGUCUUUAGGUAGUUCUGUUGUUCAUCUGGAAGACACCUAUGUCCUACUUGCCAUUGCUCUAUGAACUGAUGGUAAAACAUCUGAAGUGGACACUCAUUUUUCUGUCAUAUCCUAUUCAGUUGGAAAGUAUUUAAAAUAGAUCAUUAUUUUUAAAUGGAGAUUUCUUUCAUUGAAGUGGAAUUAUUCUUACAGAGAUCACUGGACAAUAUGAAUGCUCUGCCUCAGUAAAGCACAAAACCUACAAAGCUACCUGGAACAUGUGAGCAAGAGGAAUUUCAUCUCCCACCUUGGUGACCUGUUGAACAUCAAAGUUAGUGUUUAUUGCAUGUGUGGCUGAAGUCUUUGGGGAAAAGCUAAUGAUGUUAUUAAAGCAUUUAACAGUACAUUUGA